GGAGUUUAGUAGCAGACACAGAGACAGGUUCUAAAAGGAGUUUAGUAGCAGACACAGAGACAGGUUCUAAAAUGAGUUUAGUAGCAGACACAGAGACAGGUUCUAAAAGGAGUUUAGUAGCAGACACAGAGACAGGUUCUAAAAGGAGUUUAGUAGCAGACACAGAGACAGGUUCUAAAAGGAGUUUAGUAGCAGACACAGAGAUAGGUUCUAAAAGGAGUUUAGUAGC